rnacentral:tRNA from 1 species
ACUAUUUUGGCAGAUAAGUGCAGUAAAUUUAGAAUUUAUUAAUGUAAUUUUUUAUUACAUAUAGUA